GCUCCAGUGGCGCAAUCGGUUAGCGCGCGGUACUUAUAAUGCCGAGGUUGUAAGUUCGAGUCUCACCUGGAACA
rnacentral:tRNA from 1 species